UCCCUGGAAGUCCAGUGGUUAAGACUCUGCACUCCUGAUGUAGGGGACAUGGGUUUGAUCCCUAGUCAGGGAA
rnacentral:tRNA from 1 species